UUGUCGGAGACAACGACGGAUUCCCGGCUGACAGGAUCUUCCGCAAACGGCGUUUUCCGCGCCAGGAAAUGGUGGAACCGGAGGGAGACCCGCGUGGGUAGUGCGCACGCGGAAAGAAAAAUCCACUAGGAAAAAAAAAAGAGGAGGCGGAACAACGGCGGGUGGGCAAGCGAGCUGCUCACCCGAGGGAAUACGGAACGAAUAACGCGUUUCACGAUAAAAGCCAGCAGCAGCAGCAGCAGCAGCAGCAUGAAAAUUAGCUUAAACUCGGAGUAACCCGCAGCUGUGAAGAAUUUAAGCCGUCCUCGAACUGCUGUUCAGUUCAGAUGUCUAAUUCUCCAACGGCCCGAAUUUGGACUUUAAGCCCUGCUUAAAGUACAGACAGAGACGGCAGAGAGGCGAUCCCGCCUAAAAUUGCAUUUAUGCAAAAUACUCUCUGCCGCGGAAGCGAACGCGAGCGAGUAAGCAGAGAGAUUUUAAGGAGGGAGACAGAGAAGGAGAAAGAUCGCGCGAAAUCUUCGCCGGGAAGGUCCGGGGAGAGGAAAAAUAAGCGACUAUGGCACAUGGCCGCCUCGUAAAUAUCUUCUUACGCUCGUGAAAAUUAAUCAGUCGACGGAAUCCGGCAUAAGGCCGUAAAACAACGGCGACGCGAGCUUCUCGGUCCGAGACUCAAUCCGGAACCGCCCUAAAAACAACAUUCUUUUUCCGCCGCGCGGACGAGAAAUGAACGGAUGAUCGCGCCGUCGAGAGCUUUACUCAUCACUUAAAUCUAGAGCGAGGAAUGUUCCACGUGGCUAACGACGAUGUCACGUGUCGUACAUUUAGCGCGACUUGAUGUAGCGUGAAGCUUCAAAAACGAGAAAAACGUUCUGUACGUCUGACACAAAUUAGAGAUAGUCCUCGUUUUUUUUUAAGGCGCAACUAGGCGGAAAAUAUCCUCUUCAUAUAAAUGGAUCAUUUGUAUUUAAUACGAAAUUGAAGAAAUUUUGAAACACGACAAAUUUACCAUGAUACGUCAAUAAAAUAAUUUUAUCAAUUUUCUUUGUAAA